GGGGGUGUAGCUCAGUGGUAGAGUGCUUGCCUAGCAUGCACCAGACCCUGGGUUCGAUCCCCAGCACCUCAG
rnacentral:tRNA from 2 species